UGACACAGGGAAACCUGUUCUGGUUUCCACAGUAACAAAGGAGGUAACCAAUGGAUAUAGGGCACCAUGUACUGGAUGAAGUCUGACACUUGAUAUGGACAUGACCAAUCACCUUCCCAUCAUCAGUUCUCCAUAAAAAGCUCAUCAAGAUAUGCCAAAACUCCUUGAAAACUGCUGUUCAACCACAGGCACCCACACAGAUUUCACAUUUCUUCAAGAAACUGCAUCAAAGCGGAGCUUAUCAUCUUGGAUUUACCGCCUUUUUGCAAUCCAGCUGAGAGCUUCAUUAGAGAUUUCAGGAAACAGAUUAAUGUUGCCCCUACCCAUGUGAGAAAGUGGCAUAUCCUUUGUUGUAAGAACAAGAUACCUACAUCCUGUCAGAAGACCAAGCCAAAUCUUGUUUAAAAGGGGGCUCAGCAUAUCGAGCAAUCUGAUUGGCCAAGAAGAAACCAGUUGCAUUAUGUGGUAGCAGUCAAAUGGGCAACUGAUCUCAUGUGUUAUCCCAGAAGAACUUGAAGUUAGCGUUGGUUGGCAUUAGUGCCAAGUUUUCUGGCGGUCACAAGGGUUAGACCACAUUCUCUGCCAAAAUCUAUAUAGAGGCAUUCAUUCGGGGCUCAGAUUCUUUUUUUGCCCUGACUGGCAGCCAUUGACAAAACUGAUGGACUUACAAUCGACAAGGUUUCUGAUGCUGAGGACACGCAAGCAACGACUAUGAUCUCGGUCCAUACUUCUUUGCUAUCCCAUAUGUAGAACCUGAACAGUUAUGGAAUGUAAAGAAGUAUGUAUCCUGCUCAUGGAUGAUCAGCCCACUUUCAUCUGCUGUUGUCCACCAUGGAUUCUUUAAAUGUCUGUUUUCUUCUGAAAGGAUUUUUCAUUUUUGUUCAAAUUUUUGGUUUUUCAUUUUCUUUUGGACUUAUUUCUAAUGUUCUCUCCUAGUUAUGUUAAUCUUGUCUGUAUUAAUCAGGUAAGUGUGUGUGUGAACCAUUUUAAAUGUAACUUAACAUCUGCCAAAGUUUAAAUGCUUUUAAUUUAAUUUUUUCAACAAUUUAAAAUUCUUAUUAAAAGCAUUAGUCUUUUGAAAACUGUAAAAUUUCUGUGCGUCUGAGAUUGUAGGAAGCCAUUAUUAAGCAGGAGUUAUUGGGCCACGUUUCCUGCAAAUGAUGUAAAACAUAUGUUUCAUGUCUGUAACAUUUCUCAAGGAGUACUCCUGUUUGAUAAGGGUAACAUGUGUAGGGGUUCCCCCUUGGAAUGAUGAUAAAAAUGGUCAUUAACCUUUCAUCAGAGGUCAGGAGAGAAAGAACUAAAUUUAGUUCACCAUUAAUCCUACUUUUUCUUUGUAUUAACUUUUAACUCAAAUCACUUGAAUUUUUUUUAUGAAUCUGUUUUAAAAUGGUUUCAUAUCAAUGCAUCUGAAUUUAUUUUGCAAUGAGAGUUGUUGCUUUUUUUAUGUGAUGUAAAGUCAUACUUAAAAGCUUAAGACUUUAUACAAUUGGAUUUGGAGAUUGGGAGUAAAAAUUUAACAGCAGGAGCCCCAUCAGAUGUGAGCUUUGAGUGCAGGCAGUGAGAUCAUGUUCCCCUAUCUAUAGAUAGCACCAAUGGCUUCUGAAUCAGAUCUCUCAUGGCUCUGGAAUGUUUGCUACUGCUUGUCAGCAGGGUGGCAGGCAAUUAUGCAAAAUCUACUUCUCAAAUUCAAGAUGGCCGUCUUUGAUUUUUAUCUGGUAGGCAACUGCGUGCUUUUUGCCAGCUUUGACUUUGAACAGUGACUUUGAAGCUUGGUGUAGGAAUAGUCUAGACACUGACUUCUGCAAACUCUUCUAAACUUCCUACAUUACUAAAUUUAAAAAUAGAGCUAAUCAUGUUUUAUAAAAUCAU